rnacentral:rRNA from 1 species
GAGUUUGAUCCUGGCUCAGGAUGAACGCUAGCGGCAGGCCUAAUACAUGCAAGUCGAACGGUAAAUAGAUCAGCAAUGGUUUAUGAGAGUGACGCACGGGUGCGUAACACGUAUGCAACCUACCCUUUACAGGAGUAUAGCUCGGGGAAACUCGAAUUAACCCUUCAUAGUAUAAUUGAGUGGCAUCAUUUGGUUAUUAAAUCUUCGGAGGUAAAGGAUGGGCAUGCGUCUGAUUAGUUAGUUGGCGGUGUAACGGACCACCAAGACGAUGAUCAGUAGGGGAACUGAGAGGUUGAUCCCCCACACUGGCACUGAGAUACGGGCCAGACUCCUACGGGAGGCAGCAGUAGGGAAUAUUGGUCAAUGGAUGGAAGUCUGAACCAGCCAUGCCGCGUGCAGGAAGAAGGCCUUCUGGGUUGUAAACUGCUUUUGCCAGGGGCUAAAAAGCUCAUGCGUGAGAAAUUGAAAGUACCUGGUGAAUAAGCCACGGCUAACUACGUGCCAGCAGCCGCGGUAAUACGUAGGUGGCGAGCGUUGUCCGGAUUUAUUGGGUUUAAAGGGUGCGUAGGCGGCUUUGUAAGUCAGUGGUGAAAUAUGGCAGCUCAACUGUCAGGGUGCCAUUGAUACUGCGGAGCUUGAGUACAGAUGAGGUAGGCGGAAUUGACGGUGUAGCGGUGAAAUGCUUAGAUAUCGUCAAGAACACCGAUAGCGAAGGCAGCUUACUAGGCUGUAACUGACGCUGAGGCACGAAAGUGUGGGGAUCAAACAGGAUUAGAUACCCUGGUAGUCCACACUGUAAA